UUCAUUGUAUGUUUUUUCCUUUGAGCUUACCAUGAGACUUGCUAAUACUAUCUUACAACCCAUUAUUUUAACCUGAUAACAACCAGACACUACAUGCAUAAACAAACAAGCAGAAAGAAAACAAAUAAAAGCUCACCCUAACUUCUUGCCCCAACAUUUUAACUUUUGUUGUUUCUAUUUAUAUCUUACUGUACUGUCUUAAAAAUUUGUUGUAUUACUUUGAUUGCUCAGUUCACAUUUUCUU